AUUGAACGCUGGCGGCAGGCUUAACACAUGCAAGUCGAGCGAGCGGCGCACGGGUGCGUAAUGUCUGGGACACUGCCUGAUGGAGGGGGAUAACUACUGGAAACGGUAGCUAAUACCGCAUACCAUCACUUGUGCCCAUAUGGGAUUAGCUAGUAGGUGGGGUAAUGGCUCACCUAGGCGACGAUCCCUAGCUGGUCUGGGAGGAGGACCAGCCACACUGGAACGGGGACACGGUCCAGACUCCUACGGGAGGCAGCGGUGGGGAAUAUUGCACAAGGGGCGCAAGCCUGAUGCAGCCAUGCCGCGUGUGUGAAGAAGGCCUUCGGGUUGUAAAGCACUUUCAGCGAGGAGGCGUUACUCGCAGAAGAAGCACCGGCUAACUCCGUGCCAGCAGCCGCGGUAAUUC
rnacentral:rRNA from 1 species